GGCCCCACUACCAGCCAAGCGAGGUGAGCGAGGCAGGCCGACCUGAGUAGCGAGUCACCGUAGUGACGUGAUCUCGCAAGCUAAGGCAGGCCAACUUGAGCAGCAAGGUGUACCGUAUUGAAGUAAUUUGCGGCUCAUAUUUAAACGGUAGCAAGCGAAACGUCUAUCCAGGGGAGGACUUCGCUGCAACGCGGCGACAAAUAGAAUUGUAUUUUAUUUUUAUUUCUUUUUCAUCUGUACAUAAUUACAUUCAAUAUACGUAUUUUGUUUUAA